ensembl:rRNA 5S_rRNA 5S ribosomal RNA
GCUUACGGCCAUACCAGCCCAAGAACGCCUGGUUCGUCUGAUCUCGGAAGCUAAGAAGGCUUGGGCCUGGUUAGUACUUGGAUGGGAGACCUCCUGGGAAUACCAGGUUCUGUAAGCU